UACGGGAGGGUGCAAGCGUUAUCCGGAUUCACUGGGGUUUAAAGGGUGCGUAGGUUGGUUUUGUAAGUCAGUGGUGAAAGCCCGGAGCUCAACUCCGGAACUGCCAUUGAUACUGCUUAACUUGAAUCAAGUAGAGGUGGAUGGGAAUAUUACAUGUAGCGGUGAAAUGCUUAGAUAUGUAAUAGAACACCGAUUGCGAAGGCAGUUUCACUAUGCUUGUAUUGACA
rnacentral:rRNA from 1 species